CCGAGUGAGGGCGCUUGCGCCCGACCUCCCAACCCUUUGAUUUAUCAACCUCGUUUUGCCUCGGGGGCGACCCGGACCCUCGGGUGUUGGGUCCCCCCGGUGGACACCUCAAACUCUGCAUCAAUUGUCGUCCGAGUAUGAAGCGAAUUCAAUCA
rnacentral:misc_RNA from 1 species